GAAACACGGACCAAGGAGCCUAUCAUAUACGCGAGUCGCUCGGUCUUGCUUAGGCCUGGGAGGCGAAAUGAAAGUAAAGCUAUGAGACUUCGGUCGCAAUAGCGGCCCGCCUACUUCGUUUAUUUGGCGAUCAGGCGGAGCUGGAGCGUAUACGAUGGUACCCGAAAGAUGGUGAACUAUGCCUGGGCAAGACGAAGCCAGAGGAAACUCUGGUGGAGGUCUGUAGCGAUUCUGACGUGCAAAUCGAUCGUCAGACCUGGGUAUAGGGGCGAAAGACUAAUCGAACCAUCUAGUACU
rnacentral:rRNA from 1 species